rnacentral:rRNA from 1 species
AUUGAACGCUGGCGGCAGGCCUAACACAUGUAAGUCGAGCGGAUGAAGAGAGCUUGCUCUCUGAUUUAGCGGCGGACGGGUGAGUAAUGCCUAGGAAUCUGCCUGGUAGUGGGGGAUAACGUUCCGAAAGGAACGCUAAUACCGCGUACGUCCUACGGGAGAAAGCAGGGGACCUUCGGGCCUUGCGCUAUCAGAUGAGCCUAGGUCGGAUUAGCUAGUUGGUGAGGUAAUGGCUCACCAAGGCGACGAUCCGUAACUGGUCUGAGAGGAUGAUCAGUCACACUGGAACUGAGACACGGUCCAGACUCCUACGGGAGGCAGUAGUGGGGAAUAUUGGACAAUGGGCGAAAGCCUGAUCCAGCCAUGCCGCGUGUGUGAAGAAGGUCUUCGGAUUGUAAAGCACUUUAAGUUGGGAGGAAGGGCAGUAAGUUAAUACCUUGCUGUUUUGACGUUACCGACAGAAUAAGCACCGGCUAACUUCGUGCCAGCCGCCGCGGUAAUAC